CUAGUUACGCCUCUGUCUGUAUGUAUGUAUGUGUAUAUAUAUUAUAUAUACAUAUAUAUAUAUAUAUAUAUAUAUAUAUAAUAUAUAUACACAUACAUACAGACAGAGGCGUAACUAG